rnacentral:misc_RNA from 1 species
GUGAAUUUGAGGAUUCUACCGAUAAUGAUAGUGUUAGUGAUAGUAGCAGUUGUUUAAGUAAUCGCCAUGAUGAACUGGUUGAUGAAUGUGGUGGUCUUGCAGAAUUUGAGUCAGGCUCUUCCAUCAACUACUCUUUUAGUAACUUCUCAUUUAAGAAUCUAUCCCAGCUUGCGUCAAUCAAUUACGAUUUGCUUUCAAAAGAUUGGAAAGAUGAUCAACCGACAAAUCCUAAUGCAUAGCCAAAGGGCACUUGCAUGCCAUAAUAUUAGAUUAGAUUUUUCCUGUCGG